rfam:Alligator sinensis unplaced genomic scaffold scaffold1295_1, whole genome shotgun sequence
UACCCAGCCCCAUGACGGCCUGUCUUCAAACCAGACUGCUGGUGAGGCAGACCUGAAAGCCUGGCGUA